GUUAGGAAUAUUGGACAAUGGGCGAAAGCCUGAUCCAGCCAUGCCGCGUGUGUGAAGAAGGUCUUCGGAUUGUAAAGCACUUUAAGUUGGGAGGAAGGGCAGUAAGUUAAUACCUUGCUGUUUUGACGUUACCGACAGAAUAAGCACCGGCUAACUUCGUGCCAGCAGCCGCGGUAAUACGAAGGGUGCAAGCGUUAAUCGGAAUUACUGGGCGUAAAGCGCGCGUAGGUGGUUUUGUAAGUUGGAGGUGAAAUCCCCGGGCUCAACCUGGGAACUGCCUCCAAAACUGCAUGACUAGAGUACGGUAGAGGGUAGUGGAAUUUCCUGUGUAGCGGUGAAAUGCGUAGAUAUAGGAAGGAACACCAGUGGCGAAGGCGACUACCUGGACUGAUACUGACACUGAGGUGCGAAAGCGUGGGGAGCAAACAGGAUUAGAUACCCGAGUAGUCC
rnacentral:rRNA from 1 species